rnacentral:rRNA from 1 species
AGUCGACGGUGAACACGGAGCUUGCUCUGUGGGAUCAGUGGCGAACGGGUGAGUAACACGUGAGCAACCUGCCCCUGACUCUGGGAUAAGCGCUGGAAACGGCGUCUAAUACUGGAUACGAGUAGCGGCCGCAUGGUCAGUUACUGGAAAGAUUUUUUGGUUGGGGAUGGGCUCGCGGCCUAUCAGCUUGUUGGUGAGGUAAUGGCUCACCAAGGCGUCGACGGGUAGCCGGCCUGAGAGGGUGACCGGCCACACUGGGACUGAGACACGGCCCAGACUCCUACGGGAGGCAGCAGUGGGGAAUAUUGCACAAUGGGCGGAAGCCUGAUGCAGCAACGCCGCGUGAGGGAUGACGGCCUUUCGGGUUGUAAACCUCUUUUAGCAGGGAAGAAGCGAAAGUGACGGUACCUGCAGAAAAAGCGCCGGCUAACUACGUGCCAGCAGCCGCGGUAAUACGUAGGGCGCAAGCGUUAUCCGGAAUUAUUGGGCGUAAAGAGCUCGUAGGCGGUUUGUCGCGUCUGCUGUGAAAUCCCGAGGCUCAACCUCGGGCCUGCAGUGGGUACGGGCAGACUAGAGUGCGGUAGGGGAGAUUGGAAUUCCUGGUGUAGCGGUGGAAUGCGCAGAUAUCAGGAGGAACACCGAUGGCGAAGGCAGAUCUCUGGGCCGUAACUGACGCUGAGGAGCGAAAGGGUGGGGAGCAAACAGGCUUAGAUACCCUGGUAGUCCACCCCGUAAACGUUGGGAACUAGUUGUGGGGUCCAUUCCACGGAUUCCGUGACGCAGCUAACGCAUUAAGUUCCCCGCCUGGGGAGUACGGCCGCAAGGCUAAAACUCAAAGGAAUUGACGGGGACCCGCACAAGCGGCGGAGCAUGCGGAUUAAUUCGAUGCAACGCGAAGAACCCUUACCAAGGCUUGACAUAUACGAGAACGGGCCAGAAAUGGUCAACUCUUUGGACACUCGUAAACAGGUGGUGCAUGGUUGUCGUCAGCUCGUGUCGUGAGAUGUUGGGUUAAGUCCCGCAACGAGCGCAACCCUCGUUCUAUGUUGCCAGCACGUAAUGGUGGGAACUCAUGGGAUACUGCCGGGGUCAACUCGGAGGAAGGUGGGGAUGACGUCAAAUCAUCAUGCCCCUUAUGUCUUGGGCUUCACGCAUGCUACAAUGGCCGGUACAAAGGGCUGCAAUACCGCGAGGUGGAGCGAAUCCCAAAAAGCCGGUCCCAGUUCGGAUUGAGGUCUGCAACUCGACCUCAUGAAGUCG